rnacentral:rRNA from 1 species
GACGAACGCUGGCGGCGUGCUUAACACAUGCAAGUCGAACGAUGAACCGGAGCUUGCUCUGGGGAUUAGUGGCGAACGGGUGAGUAACACGUGGGCAACCUGCCCCAGACACCGGGAUAACCAGUCGAAAGGAUGGCUAAUACCGGAUACGACCACUUCGGGCAUCCGAUGGUGGUGGAAAGGAUUCUGGUCUGGGAUGGGCCCGCGGCCUAUCAGCUUGUUGGUGGGGUAAUGGCCUACCAAGGCGACGACGGGUAGCCGGCCUGAGAGGGCGACCGGCGACACUGGGACUGAGAGAGUGACCAGACGCCUACGGGGGGCAGCAGGGGGGAAUAUUGCGCAAUGGGCGAAAGCCUGAGGCAGCGACGCCGCGUGAGGGACGAAGGUCUUCGGAGUGUAAACCUCUUUCAGCAGGGAUGAAGCGAAAGUGACAGUACCUGCAGAAGAAGCACCGGCUAACUACGUGCCAGCCGCUGCUGUAAAAC